GUGGGAACCAUCUUACUGAUUUCAGCAGUUUUGUGGAAGAAAAGAAAAGCUGGUUCUGAGGAAGAGACAAGGCAGGAGUCUCAAAAUGAGAAUUAUGACACAUACCAUUUGUACUCCACCAUCUCUGAGGAGCCAGCUUCACCAGUCCUGAAGGACAUGAUUUACAGCACCGUGCAGGCACACUGAAAUGCAAACUGUUUUACACCGUAUAAAGAGGAGACAGCCGAAG